CCAGCAGGUCUCCGCCUCAUUCUACCCAGCCCCUAUUAAAGAUGGAGUCACUUCGGUUCAAACAUCUCUGACAGUAUGAAGGCAUAUAAAAGAAGGUUUCUCCCUCACUAUUCCUCACCUUCUAAUUCUAUUUAUUAUGAAGGAUACAACUCAGGAGCAGCUAAAUGAAGAGAUGCUGAUGGCAAGGCACACUCUCUGCGUGCACCACCUUCCUAGAGCCUCACUGUGGUCACAGACCUAGAUGCUUCCACCUGGCUAGUGGAAGCAGCUAUUUAUUUGGAAAGAAAAUCCAAAUUACACAA